UUCCUUAACUACCUAACCACACUGGCCAUCAUAUCCCACAUCCUGCUCUUCUUACCCCAGUGCCCUCUCUCACUCUCACUUUCUCACUCUCUCUCAGUCCCGUCUUAAACUUUACUCGUGUCGCAUCUCCACCAGUCAGUCAGUCAGUCAGUCAGCCAGCCAACCAACCAGUAAACCAGUCAGCCAGUCAAUCAGUAAUCCGAUACGCAUGCACACACGCACGCACGCACGCACGCACGCACGCACGCAAAGUGAUAGUUAUUACGUGUGGAAAGAGAAUUGCGUGUUCUGCUACUUCUUCUAAUACUACUAUUACUACUACUGCCGUGAAGAGAAAGCCUUCAGGUUGUUGAGAAAUGACCCAAGAAUCUUCAGGGAGACCGCAUCAGUAUGGUCAACGCUAACACCUAUAGAUAUGUGAGUAG